UGAUCCUGGCUCAGGAUGAACGCCGGCGGUGUGCCUAAUACAUGCAAGUCGAACGCGUUGGCCCAAUUGAUUGAUGGUGCUUGCACCUGAUUGAUUUUGGUCGCCAACGAGUGGCGGACGGGUGAGUAACACGUAGGUAACCUGCCCAGAAGCGGGGGACAACAUUUGGAAACAGAUGCUAAUACCGCAUAACAACGUUGUUCGCAUGAACAACGCUUAAAAGAUGGCUUCUCGCUAUCACUUCUGGAUGGACCUGCGGUGCAUUAGCUUGUUGGUGGGGUAACGGCCUACCAAGGCGAUGAUGCAUAGCCGAGUUGAGAGACUGAUCGGCCACAAUGGGACUGAGACACGGCCCAUACUCCUACGGGAGGCAGCAGUAGGGAACCUUCCACAAUGGGCGCAAGCCUGAUGGAGCAACACCGCGUGAGUGAAGAAGGGUUUCGGCUCGUAAAGCUCUGUUGUUAAAGAAGAACACGUAUGAGAGUAACUGUUCAUACGUUGACGGUAUUAACCAGA
rnacentral:rRNA from 2 species